UAAGGAAUAUUGGACAAUGGAGGCAACUCUGAUCCAGCCAUGCCGCGUGAAGGAAUAAGGCCCUAUGGGUUGUAAACUUCUUUUAGACGGGACAAAACCCCUUUACGUGUAAAGGGUUGAUGGUACUGUAAGAAUAAGCAUCGGCUAACUUCGUGCCAGCAGCCGCGGUAAUACGAAGGAUGCAAGCGUUAUCCGGAAUUAUUGGGUUUAAAGGGUGCGUAGGCGGACUAAUAAGUCAGUGGUGAAAGCCUGCAGCUUAACUGCAGAAUUGCCAUUGAUACUGUUAGUCUUGAGUACAGUUGAGGUAGGCGGAAUGUGUCAUGUAGCGGUGAAAUGCUUAGAUAUGACACAGAACACCGAUUGCGAAGGCAGCUUGCUAAGCUGUAACUGACGCUGAGGCACGAAAGCGUGG
rnacentral:rRNA from 1 species